rnacentral:rRNA from 1 species
CAGCAGCCGCGGUAAUACAGAGGGUGCGAGCGUUAAUCGGAUUUACUGGGCGUAAAGCGUGCGUAGGCGGCUUUUUAAGUCGGAUGUGAAAUCCCUGAGCUUAACUUAGGAAUUGCAUUCGAUACUGGGAAGCUAGAGUAUGGGAGAGGAUGGUAGAAUUCCAGGUGUAGCGGUGAAAUGCGUAGAGAUCUGGAGGAAUACCGAUGGCGAAGGCAGCCAUCUGGCCUAAUACUGACGCUGAUGGACGAAAGCGUGGGGAGCGAACAGGAUUAGAUACCCGAGUAGUCCCUGUCUCUUAUAC